rnacentral:rRNA from 1 species
CCUACGGGUGGCUGCAGUGGGGAAUAUUGGACAAUGGGCGAAAGCCUGAUCCAGCCAUGCCGCGUGUGUGAAGAAGGCCUUCGGGUUGUAAAGCACUUUCAGUGGGGAAGAAAGCCUUGGGGCUAAUACCCUCGAGGAAGGACAUCACCCACAGAAGAAGCACCGGCUAACUCCGUGCCAGCAGCCGCGGUAAUACGGAGGGUGCGAGCGUUAAUCGGAAUUACUGGGCGUAAAGCGCGCGUAGGCGGUCUGAUAAGCCGGUUGUGAAAGCCCCGGGCUCAACCUGGGAACGGCAUCCGGAACUGUCAGGCUAGAGUGCAGGAGAGGAAGGUAGAAUUCCCGGUGUAGCGGUGAAAUGCGUAGAGAUCGGGAGGAAUACCAGUGGCGAAGGCGGCCUUCUGGACUGACACUGACGCUGAGGUGCGAAAGCGUGGGUAGCAAACAGGAUUAGAUACCCCGGUGUC